rnacentral:rRNA from 1 species
UACGUAGGGUGCGAGCGUUGUCCGGAAUUACUGGGCGUAAAGAGCUCGUAGGUGGUUUGUCGCGUUGUUCGUGAAAACUCACAACUCAAUUGUGGGCGUGCGGGCGAUACGGGCAGACUGGAGUACUGCAGGGGAGACUGGAAUUCCUGGUGUAGCGGUGGAAUGCGCAGAUAUCAGGAGGAACACCGGUGGCGAAGGCGGGUCUCUGGGCAGUAACUGACGCUGAGGAGCGAAAGUGUGGGGGAGCGAACAGG